rnacentral:lncRNA from 10 species
UUGUGUCUUUAUAAGAACAGACACAAAAGUGUUCUCUCCCUUCCAUGCGUGCACUCUCUCUCUUCCCCUCCCUGCCCUUGCCUCCUUGCGUCUGCAUAAAGAAGAGGUUAUAUGGGCACAUUGUGAGAUGGUGGCCUCCCAUGAGCCAAGAAAAGAGGGCUUAAAAUGAAUCCUACCUGGCUGGCACCUUGAUCUUGGACUUCCUAGCAUCCAGAAAUGUGACAUGGUUUUCUGGUGCCUUGGCAACUGCUCACGAUGCAUGGGAAGACUAAACACUUUGUGUACAGCAUUCUGUCUCAUCCAGUGAAGACUUCCUCUGGAUUAUUGCAGCAGACACCUCUAACCUCCUUAAUCUGUACUGAAUCUUGCUCUGUCGCCAGGCUGGAGUGCAGUGGUGCGAUAUUGGCUCACUGCAACCUCCGCCUCUCGGGUUCAAGCGAUUAUCCUGCCUCAGCCUUUUGAGUAGCUGGGACUACAGGCACAUGGUACCAUGCCAGACUAAUUUUUGUAUUUUUAGUAGAGAUGGGAUUAUCACUAUGUUGGCCAAGAUGGUUUUGAUCUCUUGACUUCGUGAUCCGCCCUCCUCGGCCUCCCAAAGUGCUGGGAUUUCAGGCGUUAGCCACCGCACCCAGCCUGGACUUGUCUAUUUCAUUUGGAGAACUUCAAUUGAUCUAAAUCUACUUUGCAGCUUUUCAUUGUUAAUUUUGAAUUUAUUUAAACAAGUAAAAUAUUUAAGACAUUUGUGUGGAAAACCUGUAACAAAUUGCAUUUGGUUCAAUCCCUGAUUAUGUUUUAGAUA